CUGGCACAGUGUUGAUGUUCAAUAACUGUCGAAUGAAGGUUGGAAGGGCUUUGCCCUGAGCACUGAGGAGAGAGAGCUGGUUGUGUGGGACUUGAAGUCUGUCUCAGUUUCUUUAGGUGGGACUGACGCCCUUGGCCUUCCUCCAGGGAAGGCGUCCAGCAUCCAGAGGUAAGGAUUCUCCUGUGGACCUUGUGACCUCUGACUCCUUCCCCUUCUUCCCCCAGAGUUCAAGGAGGCCUUCUCCCUCUUUGACAAGGAUGGAGAUGGCACUAUCACCACCAAGGAGUUGGGGACAGUGAUGAGAUCCCUGGGACAGAACCCCACUGAAGCAGAGCUGCAGGAUAUGAUCAAUGAGGUGGAUGCAGAUGGGAACGGGACCAUUGACUUCCCGGAGUUCCUGACCAUGAUGGCCAGAAAGAUGAAGGACACAGACAGUGAGGAGGAGAUCCGAGAGGCGUUCCGUGUCUUUGACAAGGAUGGGAACGGCUACAUCAGCGCCGCAGAGCUGCGUCACGUAAUGACGAACCUGGGGGAGAAGCUGACCGAUGAGGAGGUGGAUGAGAUGAUCAGAGAGGCUGACAUCGAUGGAGAUGGCCAGGUCAAUUAUGAAGAGUUUGUACAGAUGAUGACUGCAAAGUGAAGGCCCCCCGGGCAGCUGGCGAUGCCCGUUCUCUAGAUCUCUCUGUUCUCGCGCGCGCACUCUCUCUUCAACACUCCCCUG
rnacentral:sRNA from 1 species